GGCGAUGAUGACAGCGAAUUGCGCUGAAGGGUGAUGAUAGGUUGAGGCUGAGC
rnacentral:snoRNA from 1 species